AUUGAACGCUGGCGGCAGGCCUAACACAUGCAAGUCGAACGAGUGGCGGACGGGUGAGAAAUGUCGGGAACACUGCCUGAUGGAGGGGGAUAACUACUGGAAACGGGAGCUAAUACCGCAUACCAUCGGAUGUGCCCAGAUGGGAUUAGCUAGUGGGGGGGGUAAAGGCUCCCCUAGGCGACGAUCCCUAGCUGGUCUGAGAGGAUGACCAGCCACACUGGAACGGAGACACGGUCCAGACUCCUACGGGAGGCAGCAGUGGGGAAUAUUGCACAAUGGGCGCAAGCCUGAUGCAGCCAUGCCGCGUGUAUGAAGAAGGCCUUCGGGUUGUAAAGUACUUUCAGCGGGGAGGCGUUACCCGCAGAAGAAGCACCGGCUAACUCCGUGCCAGCAGCCGCGGUAAUUC
rnacentral:rRNA from 1 species